GAUCCUUUCUUUUUUUUUAAAAUCAUCUUAAAUUUCAAUGUUCCUUUAUUUAUCUAGAGAUCCAUAUCAAUAAGUUUAAUAAUCAAUUGAAUCAAGGACCCUUGCAUGUAAAUCUGAUCCUUGAACAUUGACAUACCUAACCAAAAUCCAGAUCCAUUUAUAAAAAAGAAUAAAAAUCCAAAUCCAAAAAAUUGAGACCAAUCCAGAAAGCAUAACCAGAUCAAAUCAACAGAAAUACGAAGAAUACAUGUAAAUCUGAUCCUUGAACAUUGACAUAACUAACCAAAAUCCAGAUCCAUUUAUAAAAAAGAAUAAAAAUCCAAAUCCAAAAAAUUGAGACCAAUCCAGAAAGCAUAACCAGAUCAAAUCAACAGAAAUACGAAGAAUACACAUACAACUGCCCAGUAUAGUCCUAGGAGUCUGGGACUAAGAAUACACAUGAAUAUCAAAUAAAGACGAAAACUUUAUUAAAAACCCAGAUCUAAAAGGCCUAAAUCCAGAUCUUAAAUUCCAUAAACUUCUCGAUCAACAAAAUAGAUACACAAAUAAACAAACUAUAUCAUAUCAAUUGUUAGCAACCGAACGAUGUAUGUGUGUGAGUGUGCCGAAAAUCAAUGAAUUGGAGAAGAGAUAUCUUACUGUGAUGAACAACGAAUCUGGAGAGAGCGAGAGAGAGGGGCAGAUCUAGAAAAGACUCUGCCCUUUAGAUAGAAAUGACAAUAAAAUGCGAAAGCUAUGGAUGUUCCUAUUAAAUUUAACAAUUUGAAUUUUCAAAUUAAUAAGUCUCGUCAGAUGUGGAAUUGGAUUCUUUUAAACUUUUUGGGUGACAAAUAGUAGUAAUAGAAAUUUUUUAGAUUCUUUA
rnacentral:lncRNA from 1 species